rnacentral:rRNA from 1 species
ACGAACGCUGGCGGCGUGCUUAACACCUGCAAGUCGAACGCUGAAGCACCAGCUUGCUGGUGUGGAUGAGUGGCGAGCGGGUGAGUAAUACGUGAGUAACCUGCCCUUGACUCUGGGAUAAGCCCGGGAAACUAGGUCUAAUACUGGAUGCUACAUGUCACCGCAUGGUGGUGUGUGGAAAGGGUUUACUGGUCUUGGAUGGGCUCACGGCCUAUCAGCUUGUUGGUGAGGUAAUGGCUCACCAAGGCGACGACGGGUAGCCGGCCUGAGAGGGUGACCGGCCGCACUGGGACUGAGACACGGCCCAGACUCCUACGGGAGGCAGAAGUGGGGAAUCUUGAACGAGGGGCGAAAGCCGGAUGCAGCGACGCCGCGGGAGGGAUGACGGCCUUCGGGUUGUAAACCUCUUUCAGCAGGGAAGAAGCCACAAGUGACGGUACCUGAAGAAGAAGCGCCGGCUAACUACGUG